rnacentral:rRNA from 1 species
CACGAACGCUGGCGGCAUGCCUAACACAUGCAAGUCGAACGAAACCUUCGGGUUUUUUUGCGCACGGGUGCGUAACGCCUGGGAACUUGCCCUUAGGUUCGCAAUCACUCACCGACGGGUGAGCUAAUACCGGCUAAUGUCUUCGGACCUAGGAUUUCUCGCCUUUGGUUGGGCCCGCGUUGGAUUAGCUAGUUGGUGGGGUAAAAGCCUACCAAGGCGACGAUCCAUAGCUGGUCUGAGAGCAGGAGCAGCCACACUGGCGCUGAGACACGGCCCAGACUCCGACGGGAGGCAGCAGUGGGGAAUAUUGGACAAUGGGCGCAAGCCUGAUACAGCAAUGCCGCGUGAGUGGUGAAGGCCUUAGGGUUGUAAAGCUGUUUUACCCGGGAUGAUAAUGACAGUACCGGGAGAAUAAGCUCCGGCUAACUUCGUG